AUGUUUAGAGCUUGUGAUGUUCAGAGCUGGCUCUGAUGAGGGCUCUGGGGAAGCCUCUGAUUGCAAAUCCUGGAGAGAGUAGCCAGGUGUCUCCUACACCAACCCACGUCCCUCCUUCCCCAUACUUCGGGCCCUUGGGAGCUCACCAAGCCUUCCCACCCCACUGCAGCUGGCAGCCAAGGAGGCGAAGCUUCGAGACCUGGAGGACUCACUGGCCCGUGAGCGGGACACCAGCCGGCGGCUGCUAGCGGAAAAGGAGCGGGAGAUGGCCGAGAUGCGGGCAAGGAUGCAGCAGCAGCUGGACGAGUACCAGGAGCUUCUGGACAUCAAGCUAGCCCUGGACAUGGAGAUCCACGCCUACCGCAAGCUCCUGGAGGGCGAGGAGGAGAGGCUACGCCUGUCCCCCAGCCCCACCUCGCAGCGCAGCCGUGGCCGUGCUUCCUCCCACUCAUCCCAGACACAGAGUGGGGGCAGCGUCACCAAAAAGCGCAAGCUGGAGUCCACCGAGAGCCGCAGCAGCUUCUCACAGCACGCACGCACUAGCGGGCGCGUGGCCGUGGAGGAGGUGGACGAGGAGGGCAAGUUUGUCCGGCUGCGCAACAAGUCCAAUGAGGACCAGUCCAUGGGCAAUUGGCAGAUCAAGCGCCAGAAUGGAGAUGAUCCCUUGCUGACUUACCGCUUCCCACCAAAGUUCACCCUGAAGGCUGGGCAGGUGGUGACGAUCUGGGCUGCAGGAGCUGGGGCCACCCAUAGCCCCCCUACUGACCUGGUGUGGAAGGCACAGAACACCUGGGGCUGCGGGAACAGCCUGCGCACGGCUCUCAUCAACUCCACUGGGGAAGAGGUGGCCAUGCGCAAGCUGGUGCGCUCAGUGACUGUGGUUGAGGACGACGAGGAUGAGGAUGGAGAUGACCUGCUCCAUCACCACCACGUGAGUGGCAGCCGCCGCUGAGGCCGAGCCUGCACUGGGGCCACCCAGCCAGGCCUGGGGGCAGUCUCUCCCCAGCCUCCCCGUGCCAAAAAUCUUUUCAUUAAAGAAUGUUUUGGAACUUUACUCGCUGGCCUGGCCUUUCUUCUCUCUCCUCCCUAUACCUUGAACAGGGAACCCAGGUGUCUGGGUGCCCUACUCUGGUAAGGAAGGGAGUGGGAACUUUCUGAUGCCAUGGAAUAUUCCUGUGGGAGCAGUGGACAAGGGUCUGGAUUUGUCUUCUGGGAAAGGGAGGGGAGGACAGACGUGGGGCAUACCCGCCCUGCCUCUCUCCCCCAUUCUUGUUGCAUGCAUAUCCUCUCAUUUCCGUCAUUUUUCCUGCAAGAAUGUUCUCUCUCAUUCCUGACCGCCCCCCCACUCC
rnacentral:sRNA from 1 species